rnacentral:rRNA from 1 species
CACUAUCGUUAACUGAAUACAUAGGUUAACGAGGCGAACCGGGGGAACUGAAACAUCUAAGUACCCCGAGGAAAAGAAAUCAACCGAGAUUCCCCCAGUAGCGGCGAGCGAACGGGGAGCAGCCCAGAGUCUGAAUCAGCUUGUGUGUUAGUGGAACGGUCUGGAAAGUCCGACGGUACAGGGUGAUAGUCCCGUACACCAAAAUGCACAGGCUGUGAACUCGAAGAGUAGGGCGGGACACGUGGUAUCCUGUCUGAAUAUGGGGGGACCAUCCUCCAAGGCUAAAUACUCCUGACUGACCGAUAGUGAACCAGUACCGUGAGGGAAAGGCGAAAAGAACCCCGGCGAGGGGAGUGAAAAAGAACCUGAAACCGUGUACGUACAAGCAGUGGGAGCACCUUCGGGUGUGACUGCGUACCUUUUGUAUAAUGGGUCAGCGACUUAUAUUCUGUAGCAAGGUUAACCGUAUAGGGGAGCCGCAGGGAAACCGAGUCUUAACUGGGCGUUAAGUUGCAGGGUAUAGACCCGAAACCCGGUGAUCUAGCCAUGGGCAGGUUGAAGGUUGGGUAACACUAACUGGAGGACCGAACCGACUAAUGUUGAAAAAUUAGCGGAUGACUUGUGGCUGGGGGUGAAAGGCCAAUCAAACCGGGAGAUAGCUGGUUCUCCCCGAAAGCUAUUUAGGUAGCGCCUCGUGAACUCAUCUUCGGGGGUAGAGCACUGUUUCGGCUAGGGGGUCAUCCCGACUUACCAACCCGAUGCAAACUACGAAUACCGAAGAAUGUUAUCACGGGAGACACACGGCGGGUGCUAACGUCCGUCGUGAAGAGGGAAACAACCCAGACCGCCAGCUAAGGUCCCAAAGUCAUGGUUAAGUGGGAAACGAUGUGGGAAGGCACAGACAGCCAGGAUGUUGGCUUAGAAGCAGCCAUCAUUUAAAGAAAGCGUAAUAGCUCACUGGUCGAGUCGGCCUGCGCGGAAGAUGUAACGGGGCUAAACCAUGCACCGAAGCUGCGGCAGCGACACUAUGUGUUGUUGGGUAGGGGAGCGUUCUGUAAGCCUGCGAAGGUGACCUGUGAGGGUUGCUGGAGGUAUCAGAAGUGCGAAUGCUGACAUAAGUAACGAUAAAGCGGGUGAAAAGCCCGCUCGCCGGAAGACCAAGGGUUCCUGUCCAACGUUAAUCGGGGCAGGGUGAGUCGACCCCUAAGGCGAGGCCGAAAGGCGUAGUCGAUGGGAAACAGGUUAAUAUUCCUGUACUUGGUGUUACUGCGAAGGGGGGACGGAGAAGGCUAUGUUAGCCGGGCGACGGUUGUCCCGGUUUAAGCAUGUAGGCUGGUUGUCCAGGCAAAUCCGGAUAAUCAAGGCUGAGGUGUGAUGACGAGGCACUACGGUGCUGAAGUAACAAAUGCCCUGCUUCCAGGAAAAGCCUCUAAGCAUCAGGUAACAUUAAAUCGUACCCCAAACCGACACAGGUGGUCAGGUAGAGAAUACCAAGGCGCUUGAGAGAACUCGGGUGAAGGAACUAGGCAAAAUGGUGCCGUAACUUCGGGAGAAGGCACGCUGGUGUGUAGGUGAAGUCCCUGCGGAUGGAGCUGAGACCAGUCGAAGAUACCAGCUGGCUGCAACUGUUUAUUAAAAACACAGCACUGUGCAAACACGAAAGUGGACGUAUACGGUGUGACGCCUGCCCGGUGCCGGAAGGUUAAUUGAUGGGGUUAUCCGUAAGGAGAAGCUCUUGAUCGAAGCCCCGGUAAACGGCGGCCGUAACUAUAACGGUCCUAAGGUAGCGAAAUUCCUUGUCGGGUAAGUUCCGACCUGCACGAAUGGCGUAAUGAUGGCCAGGCUGUCUCCACCCGAGACUCAGUGAAAUUGAACUCGCUGUGAAGAUGCAGUGUACCCGCGGCAAGACGGAAAGACCCCGUGAACCUUUACUAUAGCUUGACACUGAACAUUGAGCCUUGAUGUGUAGGAUAGGUGGGAGGCUUUGAAGCGUGGACGCCAGUCUGCGUGGAGCCAACCUUGAAAUACCACCCUUUAAUGUUUGAUGUUCUAACGUUGGCCCCUUACCGGGGUUGCGGACAGUGUCUGGUGGGUAGUUUGACUGGGGCGGUCUCCUCCCAAAGCGUAACGGAGGAGCACGAAGGUUAGCUAAUCCUGGUCGGACAUCAGGAGGUUAGUGCAAUGGCAUAAGCUAGCUUGACUGCGAGCGUGACGGCGCGAGCAGGUGCGAAAGCAGGUCAUAGUGAUCCGGUGGUUCUGAAUGGAAGGGCCAUCGCUCAACGGAUAAAAGGUACUCCGGGGAUAACAGGCUGAUACCGCCCAAGAGUUCAUAUCGACGGCGGUGUUUGGCACCUCGAUGUCGGCUCAUCACAUCCUGGGGCUGAAGUAGGUCCCAAGGGUAUGGCUGUUCGCCAUUUAAAGUGGUACGCGAGCUGGGUUUAGAACGUCGUGAGACAGUUCGGUCCCUAUCUGCCGUGGGCGCUGGAGAAUUGAGGGGGGCUGCUCCUAGUACGAGAGGACCGGAGUGGACGCAUCACUGGUGUUCGGGUUGUCAUGCCAAUGGCACUGCCCGGUAGCUAAAUGCGGAAGAGAUAAGUGCUGAAAGCAUCUAAGCACGAAACUUGCCCCGAGAUGAGUUCUCCCUGAGACUUUAAGUCUCCUGAAGGAACGUUAAAGACGAUGACGUUGAUAGGCCGGGUGUGUAAGCGCAGCGAUGCGUUGAGCUAACCGGUACUAAUGAACCGUGAGGCUUAACCUU